rnacentral:rRNA from 1 species
CAGCAGCCACGGGAACACGAAGGGUGCAAGCGUUACUCGGAAUUACUGGGCGUAAAGCGUGCGUAGGUGGUGGUUUAAGUCCGUUGUGAAAGCCCUGGGCUCAACCUGGGAAUUGCAGUGGAUACUGGGUCACUAGAGUGUGGUAGGGGAUAGUGGAAUUCCCGGUGUAGCAGUGAAAUGCGUAGAGAUCGGAAGGAACAUCUGUGGCGAAGGCGACUAUCUGGGCCAACACUGACACUGAGGCACGAAAGCGUGGGGAGCAAACAGGAUUAGAUACCCCUGUAGUCCCUGUCUCUUAUAU